rnacentral:sRNA from 1 species
AAUAAUUAACGAUUAGCCAAUGGGUAGUUAAAGAUAUUUUAUAUAAAGAAAGGGAAUUUGUAAAUAAAUUAUUAAAAUAACAAAUUGUCAAUUUAUAAUACAAAGCCGCGGAAUUUGGGAAAGUUUCUAUUUAUAAAAAGCAUAAAUCCAUUUUAGCAAAAUAAAAUAAAGAUUUAAAGUUAAAUUACUGGCGGAAAAACAUAUUUACCACAGGUAAAAAAGGAAUUAAAUAAAGUAAAAAAAAGGUUUUGCAAUCGGAAACAGGGACGGAUAAACAAAAAAUAAAACCAGGCGACGGAACCCAAAAAUUGGCCCAUAUACCGGACAGCUUUUGGAAGAUAAACGAAAAUAAAACUGGUGUUAAAAUAUCGAAAAAAUUAAAAGCCAAACAGCGACAAAAGAUAUAUUUGACCCUCCCGGCAUAAUUUAACCGGAGCUUUUAUUGCAUAAUUAAUUUAUUAAAAUCGAAUUUUUUUACAAAAUUAAUUUUUUUCAGCCAAAACCUUUGGUUAAUUGUUAAAUACCCAUAUUUAACGUUCCAGCGAGCAAAUAAAAUAUAAGCCCAAGGUUUGAAAGCCCGCCGUACGCAAUAUCGCCAGUCCGGAUGGAAUGCAAUAUGCCAAAUAUCUUUAUAACCGGUUCGCAAAAACCCAGGCUGGAGGCCAACGGACAAACGGUACGCAUAUUAAUAAUUUCUUAUUUUCGUCGCUAAUUCGGCUAGGAUAUAUAUAAUGCAAUUAACCGUUAUUUGUGGAAUGUAAUCCAUUUAAUCGAAACCUCCCGCCGGGAAUAUAAUAAAAUAUUUUAAAAUUAUAAUAACCUUUUCGAAAAUUACAAAAUAUUAUAGGAUUAAAACCAAAAAUUCGAAUCGAAACUUUCCGCUGUUUCGGAUACCAAUAUUUAGCUGCGGGAUUGUAUUUCGACGAACGAAAUAUUAAAGGCGGCAUUCGGGUUUGAAUUUAAAAAAAGCGAGGACGAAAACGCCGCGGUUAAGGAGUGGUAUUAUUAAAAAAUUAAAAAUAAGGACGUCGAAAUUGUUAUAUUAAAGGAAAAAUUAAACGCGAUAUAUAAAUAGGUUAAACAGUCUGGAAUAAAUAUUGCAACCCCCAAAAUAUAAUUACCAAAAGGCGGAAAUUUAUCCAUUACGCAACGGAAACGCGCUAUUGCCGCAAAAGUAGUUUAAAAUGGAUUGUACGCUUAGUAUUGUUUUUCUCGUGCUGGGAAAAUGGGAUAAUGGGAGGAAGUAUGGUACGACAAAUGCAAAUAAUGGAAGCGAUGCAGGUAACCCGUUUGCAAAAUAAAAUAUAGGUGCUACGGUAUUAUAUGUUGGUUAUUUUGCUAUAAUAGCGUUUGUUAAAGUUAUGUAAUUUCCAUAUAUUUGCAGUGGAAGUUAGUCCCAAACCGGAACGUGGACUAAUUUAUAUACCAAUCCAAAAACAAAAACUAACAAUUUAUUAUUUUUAUAACCAAGAUUUGAGCUUUUUAUUCCCAAAGCCGUAAACCAAUCGUAUUAAAUUAUAAAACCCAAAUAUUUUAAAAACCGGCUCGAAAAAUUAAAAUUAUUUCACAUUUAAUUGGGGUAAAAAUUGCGAAUUCCAAUAAUAAUUUUUAUUUUUUUGGUUUAAAACUUUUAAUUUUGCAAGUCGAUAUUCGAUUUUGUCGUGGUAUUAUUAAAUGGGGUUUUUGGAUAGCCCGAACUGCUAUUGGAUAUGUUUUGGUUUUCCGUGGUUAUAUGCGACCUCGUGCAUUUUUUGCGCGUAUCGACUAGCAGGUCCAUAUUUAUAUUUUAAACUGUAGCGAUCGCUAAUACGGCUCAAAUUGUGCUUUUUUAUCCUAACGUAAUAAAUGUAUUGAAAAACCGUAAAAAAAAUGGUAAAUAUAUUUGCUGGGAUUUGGGGAUAACGAACGGUUAUGGUUUGGCUGUUGGAUUGUUAUUGCUGUUUUUAUAUUAAAAUGGAAAUAUGUUUUUUUAUAAUUUGCGUCGGUUUAGGUCGCCGGGCGGAAAAUAGGAAACUGGUCCACGGCCGACAUAUUUAAGUACCAAGAAAAGGCCUGGUCCGAAAAUAGGUAAAUUUGGAACUGGUGUUUUUCUGUAGCAAAAACGGUGUCCUUAUAUUAAUUAUUAUAUGGCUUUUAUUAUAAAUAUUCUUUUAUUGGGGGAAAUUAAUUGUAAAAUUAUACCACGGUUAAAAACAAUUAAUUAAACCAAGGUUUACCCUGGUAAUUAAAUAUUUUAUUUUGGUUUAUUUUAGGUGCGAGCAAAUUUAAUAAUAGGAAAAUAAUUGAAAAUAUUACUCUCGAAUUUCCCGUAUGGCCAUAUUAUAAUUUUAAACCGAUAUCGGUAUAAUUGAACGAGGGUUAAAAAUUGCCUAAAUCCGUAACGCAAUUACCAAUUCCUAAUUUUGGGCCUUUUAAGUUUUA